GAUGAACGCUGGCGGCGUGCCUAAUACAUGCAAGUCGAGCGAACUGAUUAGAAGCUUGCUUCUAUGACGUUAGCGGCGGACGGGUGAGUAACACGUGGGCAACCUGCCUGUAAGACUGGGAUAACUUCGGGAAACCGAAGCUAAUACCGGAUAGGAUCAUCUCCUUCAUGGGAGAUGAUUGAAAGAUGGUUUCGGCUAUCACUUACAGAUGGGCCCGCGGUGCAUUAGCUAGUUGGUGAGGUAACGGCUCACCAAGGCAACGAUGUAUAGCCGACGGGAGAGGGUGAUCGGCCAAACUGGGACGUAGACACGGCCCAGUCUCCUCCGGGAGGCAGCAGUAGGGAAUCUUGCGCAAUGGACGAAAGUCUGACGGAGCAACGCCGCGUGUGUGAUGAAGGCUUUCGGGUCGUAAAACUCUGUUGUUAGGGAAGAACAAGUACAAGAGUAACUGCUUGUACCUUGACGGUACCUAACCAGAAAGCCACGGCUAACUACGUGCCAGCCGCCGCAGUAACAC
rnacentral:rRNA from 1 species